AUUGAACGCUGGCGGCAGGCCUAACACAUGCAAGUCGAGCGGAUGAAGGGAGCUUGCUUCUGGAUUCAGCGGCGGACGGGUGAGUAAUGCCUAGGAAUCUGCCUGGUAGUGGGGGAUAACGUCCGGAAACGGGCGCUAAUACCGCAUACGUCCUGAGGGAGAAAGUGGGGGAUCUUCGGACCUCACGCUAUCAGAUGAGCCUAGGUCGGAUUAGCUAGUUGGUGGGGUAAAGGCCUACCAAGGCGACGAUCCGUAACUGGUCUGAGAGGAUGAUCAGUCACACUGGAACUGAGACACGGUCCAGACUCCUACGGGAGGCAGCAGUGGGGAAUAUUGGACAAUGGGCGAAAGCCUGAUCCAGCCAUGCUGCGUGUGUGAAGAAGGUCUUCGGAUUGUAAAGCACUUUAAGUUGGGAGGAAGGGCAGUAAGUUAAUACCUUGCUGUUUUGACGUUACCAACAGAAUAAGCACCGGCUAACUUCGUG
rnacentral:rRNA from 1 species